rnacentral:rRNA from 1 species
AUUGAACGCUGGCGGCAUGCUUUACACAUGCAAGUCGAACGGUAACAGGUUAAGCUGACGAGUGGCGAACGGGUGAGUAAUGUAUCGGAACGUGCCCAGUCGUGGGGGAUAACGUAGCGAAAGCUACGCUAAUACCGCAUACGAUCUGUGGAUGAAAGCGGGGGACCGUAAGGCCUCGCGAGAUUGGAGCGGCCGAUAUCAGAUUAGGUAGUUGGUGGGGUAAAGGCCCACCAAGCCAACGAUCUGUAGCUGGUCUGAGAGGACGACCAGCCACACUGGGACUGAGACACGGCCCAGGCUCCUACGGGAGGCAGCAGUGGGGAAUUUUGGACAAUGGGGGCAACCCUGAUCCAGCAAUGCCGCGUGCAGGAAGAAGGCCUUCGGGUUGUAAACUGCUUUUGUACGGAACGAAAAGGCUCUGGUUAAUACCUGGGGUUUAUGACGGUACCGUAAGAAUGAGCACCGGCUAACUACGUGCCAGCCGCCGCAGUAA